rnacentral:rRNA from 1 species
GGGCAGCCUGAUGCAGCACGCCGCGUGCAUUGAAGAAGGCCCUAGGGUUGUAAACCUCUUUCAGAUGGGAAGAUAAUGACGGUACCUUCAGAAGAAGGUGCGGCCUAACUACGUGCCAGCAGCCGCGGUGACACGUGAGGCACGCAAGCGUUAGUCCGGAUAUUAUCUGGGCGUAAGAGCUCGUAGGCGGGUAUCUGAGUUAGUCGAGGAUGUGAAAAUCUCAGGGCUCAACCCUGGAACGUCGCACUUCUGAUACUGCGUAUGUACUAUGAGUACGAGUAGAGGGUAGACGUGGGAACUCCUGGGGUAAGGUGAAAUUGCGCAAAUUUCAGAAAGAAACCCCGGUGGGCAAAGGCGCUCAUCGGGGCCGUACUUGACCUUAAGUACCAAAAUGUGGGGUAGCAAACAGGAUUAAAUCCCUGGGUAUCCCACCCCGUAAACAUUGAGGGACUAUCUGUGGGUCUCUUGUCCUUUGAUCCCCCCCCUAACUAAUUAAUUAUUCCCCCUGCCUGGGGAGUACGGUCGAUUAACUACUCACUCGAAUUGAUUGGCGG